rnacentral:misc_RNA from 1 species
GAUGAAGAACGUAGCGAAAUGCGGUAAGUAAUGUGAAUUGCAGAAUCCAGUGAAUCAUCGAAUCUUUGAACGCACAUUGCGCCCGCCAGCAUUCUGGCGGGCAUGCCUGUUCGAGCGUCAUUUCAACCCUCGACCUCCCUUUGGGGAAGUCGGCGUUGGGGACCGGCAGCACACCGCCGGCCCUGAAAUGGAGUGGCGGCCCGUCCGCGGCGACCUCUGCGUAGUAAUCCAACUCGCACCGGAACCCCGACGCGGCCACGCCGUAAAACACCCAACUUCUGAACGUUGACCUCGAAUCAGGUAGGACUACCCGCUGAACUUAAGCAUAUCAAUAAGCGGAGGA